GGAUUAGAUACCCCUGUAGUCCUGGCAGUAAACGGUGCACGCUUGGUGUGGGCGGAUUUAACCCCUGCCGUGCCGGAGCUAACGCGUUAAGUGCGCCGCCUGGGGAGUACGGCCGCAAGGCUAAAACUCAAAGAAAUUGACGGGGACCCGCACAAGCGGUGGAGUAUGUGGCUUAAUUCGAUGCAACGCGAAGAACCUUACCUAGGCUUGACAUGCUCGUCAUACCUCCCAGAAACGGGAGGGUCGGUUCGGCCGGACGAUGCACAGGUGCUGCAUGGCCGUCGUCAGCUCGUGUCGUGAGAUGUUUGGUUAAGUCCAGCAACGAGCGCAACCCCUGUGAAUAGUUGCCAGCGCGUAAUGGCGGGGACUCUAUUCAGACUGCCGGUAUCAAACCGGAGGAAGGUGGGGACGACGUCAGGUCAGUAUGGCCCUUACGCCUAGGGCUGCACACGUACUACAAUGCCCAGUAUAAUGAGAACCGAGACCGCGAGGUGGAGGAAAUCUGCAAAACUGGGCCCAGUUCGGAUUGGAGGCUGCAACUCGCCUCCAUGAAGUCGGAAUCGCUAGUAAUGGCUCAUCAGCAACGGAGCCGUGAAUACGUUCCCGGGUCUUGUACACACCGCCCGUCACAUCAUGGAAGCCGGUCGCACCCGAAGUAUCUGCGCUAACUUUCGAGAAGCAGGAUCCUAAGGUGUAGCUGGUAACUGGGAUGAAGUCGUAACAAGGUAGCCGUA
rnacentral:rRNA from 1 species